rnacentral:rRNA from 1 species
UACGAAGGGUGCAAGCGUUACUCGGAAUUACUGGGCGUAAAGGGUGCGUAGGUGGUUCUUUAAGUCUGCUGUGAAAGCCCCGGGCUCAACCUGGGAAUGGCAGUGGAUACUGGAGAGCUAGAGUGCGGUAGAGGGUAGUGGAAUUUCCGGUGUAGCGGUGAAAUGCGUAGAUAUCGGAAGGAACAUCAGUGGCGAAAGCGACUUCCUGGACCAGUACCGACGUUCAGGCACGAAAGCGUGGGGAGCAAACAGG